GUGUGUGUUGAGCAAUGAACUUUACUGGUUCUUUUCUUUUUUUAAUCAAGACUCUGAUAUAAAGCUAACUCCACAGUUCGGAGUGAAAUCUCGUCUGUGUCUCGGAUCUCUGACCAUCUGACUGGUCCAGAGGACAAAAUGUCGUCUAUGAAGAGUGACCGGUCCAAAGGUCGUCCACCGGACUUCAGUGGUGAACCUGGACCUUCAGGCACAAAAAAGAGGAAGAGAAGAAGUGAUGUCUGUGAAGAGCAGCCAGACAGA